rnacentral:rRNA from 1 species
AGCUUGUUGGUUGGUCUUAAUAACAGGUAUUUUCUGCCCGGUGUUCUUAGGAAUAAACGGCCGCGGUACUCUGACCGUGCAAAGGUAGCAUAAUCACUUGUCCUUUAAUUGUGGGCUGGGAUGAAGGGAAGUAUCGUGGGCCCGGCUGUCUCUUUCCUAUUUUUUGAAUUUGCUGUCUGUGUGAAGAAGCAUUGUUGGUAAAAAGGGACGAGAAGACCCUAUUAAGCUUUACUUCUGUGGUUUGGUUUUAGUCUUUUACGUACUUAGGUCUGUUCUGCGGGGUUUGGUUGGGGUGACCGGAGAAGACGUGGAUCUUCUCUUUUGUUCUUACUUUCUGUUGGGUCUGGAUCCAAGAUUUUUUGAUUCAAGGAAUUAGUUACUGUAGGGGUAACAGCGUAAUUUUUUCUUAAAGUUCUUAUUGAAGGGAGAGGUUGCGACCUCGAUGUUGACUUGCUGUAUCCUCUUUCAGGUGUAGCAGCUGGGAGGGUUGGUCUGUUCGACCAUUAAAAUAGC